rnacentral:rRNA from 1 species
AACGAACGCUGGCGGCAGGCCUAACACAUGCAAGUCGAACGCACCGCAAGGUGAGUGGCGCACGGGUGAGUAACACGUGGGAAUGUACCCUUUGGUUCGGAAUAACGUUUGGAAACGAACGCUAAUACCGGAUGAGCCCUGUGGGGGAAAGAUUUAUCGCCAAAGGAGCAGCCCGCGUCUGAUUAGCUAGUUGGUGGGGUAAAGGCCUACCAAGGCGACGAUCAGUAGCUGGUCUGAGAGGAUGAUCAGCCACACUGGGACUGAGACACGGCCCAGACUCCUACGGGAGGCAGCAGUGGGGAAUUUUGGACAAUGGGCGCAAGCCUGAUCCAGCCAUGCCGCGUGCAGGAUGAAGGCCUUCGGGUUGUAAACUGCUUUGUACGGAACGAAAGAACUCUGGUUAAUACCUGGGUCCGAUGACGGUACCGUAAGAAUAAGCACCGGCUAACUACGUGCCAGCAGCCGCGGUAAU